rnacentral:lncRNA from 1 species
AGAUUUCGAAUCUGGUACAAGAAUUGCUUUGCUAUUUUUUCCGGUGACCGCUUAUCUUUCACUUUAAUUUAGGCCAAGCAAAGGUAAGUUGUUAUCUUCUUGUUAUUGUUCAUAUUGAAGUCUAGUGAAGCCAUGUGUGGCUGAUCUUGGGUGUAUUUAUACGCCUAAGCACCAUAAUUUAUUCAUGUUUUAGCUAAGUUUAGAGAACAAAAUUCCUAGUUUCUUGAGUUUUUACUCUACUUCUAUGUAAUUGAGCUAACCGAUAUGAUUAGUAUGAUUUCAGGUAUUAAUGAGGUAAAUGAAGACAUAAUGGGAUUUUGGAAUUUGGAUGGCAUAGACAUAAGAGAGAGUAGCAGUUUGGACCAAAUGUGGCACCUAAAAAUUAUGUCCAAGACUAAUUUGUUAUUUACAAUUAGUUCAGAGACUUAGAAGGCAAUUAUGAGAGAAGAGAUUAUUAAAAGACUUAAUGCUGAAUUUUUAUUCAUUAUUUAUUAUUCUGUAUUAGUUUUUGAAGAGGGAGAGUGGCGGC